GACGAACGCUGGCGGCGGGCUUAACACAUGCAAGUCGAACGGAAAGGCCCUGCUUUUGUGGGGUGAUCGAGUGGCGAACGGGUGCGUAACACGUGAGUAACCUGACCUUGACUUUGGGGUAACUUCAGGAAACUGGGGGUAAUACCGGAUAGGAGCUCCUGCUGCAGGGUGGGGGGUGGAAAGUUUCGGCGGGUGGGGAUGGACUAGCGGCUUAUCAGCUUGUUAGUGGGGUAGUGGAGUCCCAAGGAUUUGACGGGUAGGCGGCCUGGGAGGGUGACCGGCCACCUUGGUCCUGCGCGAGGGCCCAGUCUCCUACGGGAGGCAGCGGGGGGGAACAUUGCACAACGGGCGGGCGCCUGUGGCGGCAACGCCGCGUUCGGGAAGACCUCCUUCGGGUUGUAAACCGCUUUCGCCUGUGACGAAGCGUUAGUGACGGUAAUGGGUAAAGAAGCACCGGCUAACUACGUG
rnacentral:rRNA from 1 species